rnacentral:tRNA from 1 species
GCUGUUGUAGCUCAGGGGUAGAGCACUUCCUUGGUAAGGAAGAGGUCGUGAGUUCAAUCCUCAUCAACCGCU